rnacentral:rRNA from 1 species
GAGGAAUAAGCAUCGGCUAACUCCGUGCCAGCAGCCGCGGUAAUACGGGGGAUGCAAGCGUUAUCCGGAAUCAUUGGGCGUAAAGCGCCUGUAGGUUGUUUAUUAAGUCUGUUGUUAAAGACUAGGGCUUAACCCUAGAAAAGCAAUGGAAACUAAUAGACUAGAGUAUGGCAGGGGUAGAGGGAAUUUCUGGUGUAGCGGUGAAAUGCGUAGAUAUUAGAAAGAACACCGGUGGCGAAAGCGCUCUACUGGACCAUUACUGACACUCAGAGGCGAAAGCUAGGGUAGCAAAAGGGAUUAGAUACCCCUGUAGUCCUAGCCGUAAACGAUGGAUACUAGAUGUUGUGCUUCAUGUACAGUAUCGUAGCUAACGCGUUAAGUAUCCCGCCUGGGGAGUACGCUCGCAAGGGUGAAACUCAAAGGAAUUGACGGGGGCCCGCACAAGCGGUGGAGCAUGUGGUUUAAUUCGAUGCAACGCGAAGAACCUUACCAGGGCUUGACAUACUACGAAUUUUCUUGAAAGAGAAAAGUGCCUUCGGGAAUGUAGAUACAGGUGGUGCAUGGCUGUCGUCAGCUCGUGUCGUGAGAUGUUGGGUUAAGUCCCGCAACGAGCGCAACCCUUAUUUUUAGUUACCAAUUCGUUGGGUUCUCUAGAAAGACUGCCGGUGACAAACCGGAGGAAGGUGAGGAUGACGUCAAGUCAGCAUGCCCCUUAUGUCCUGGGCUACACACGUGCUACAAUGGUUAAGACAAAGAGUCGCGAGCUCGCAAGAGUCAGCUAAUCUCGUAAACUUAGCCUAAGUUCAGAUUGUAGGCUGCAACUCGCCUACAUGAAG